rnacentral:rRNA from 1 species
AGAGUUUGAUCAUGGCUCAGAACGUACGCUGGCGGCACGCCUAGCACAUGCAAGUCGAACGAAGUAGCAAUACUUAGUGGCAGACGGGUGAGUAACAUGUAGGUAUCUGCCCUUUGGCCUGGAAUAACACGAGGAAACUUGUGCUAAUACCGGAUAAGUCUUUACGGAGAAAGCUUUAUGCACCAUUGGAUGAGCCUGCACUUGAUUAGUUUGUUGGUGGGGUAAUGGCCUACCAAGACUGUGAUCAAUAGCUGAUUUGAGAGGAUGAUCAGCCACAUUGGGACUGAGACACGGCCCAAACUCCUACGGGAGGCAGCAGUGGGGAAUCUUGCACAAUGGAGGAAACUCUGAUGCAGCGAUGCCGCGUGAGUGAAGAAGGCCUUUGGGUUGUAAAGCUCUUUCGUCGGGGAAGAAAAUGACUGUACCCGAAUAAGAAGGUCCGGCUAACUUCGUGCCAGCAGCCGCGGUAAUACGAAGGGACCUAGCGUAGUUCGGAAUUACUGGGCUUAAAGAGUUCGUAGGUGGUUGAAAAAGUUGGUGGUGAAAUCCCAGAGCUUAACUCUGGAACUGCCAUCAAAACUUUUCAGCUAGAGUAUGAUAGAGGAAAGCAGAAUUUCUAGUGUAGAGGUGAAAUUCGUAGAUAUUAGAAAGAAUACCAAUUGCGAAGGCAGCUUUCUGGA